rnacentral:ncRNA from 1 species
AUAUAAUUUUCACUAUAUCUCUAGACUAUACCUUAAGCUUAAUAAUCUUAUUAAACCCAUUAACAUCUAGUCGUUGAACUGCAUCCUUAAGUAGGAUUUGGCUGCUGAUUGACGUAUAAUUAUUAAUUUUCACUGUUGUCAGUAUAAUAAUCUUUUAAGUGUUUCCAGCAAUUUGAUAAUGUUGUCUUACAAUUUGUAAGGCUAGAUGAAUAUUCAUCUUUUAG